rnacentral:rRNA from 1 species
AUAACCGUGGUAAUUCUAGAGCUAAUACAUGCUAAAAAUCCCGACUUCGGAAGGGAUGUUUUAUUAGAUUAAAAACCAAUGCCCUUCGGGGCUCACUGGUGAUUCAUGAUAACUCCUCGAAUCGCAUGGCCUUGUGCCGCGAUGGUUCAUUCAAAUUUCUUCCCUAUCAACUUUCGAUGUUUGGGUAUUGGCCAAACAUGGUUGCAACGGGUAACGGGGGUUAGGGCUCGACCCCGGAGAAGGAGCCUGAGAAACGGCUACUACAUCCAAGGAAGGCAGCAGGCGCGCAAAUUACCAAUCCCGACACGGGGAGGUAGUGACAAUAAAUACUGAUACAGGGCUCUUUUGGGUCUUGUAAUUGGAAUGAGUACAAUUAAAUCCCUUAACGAGGAACAAUUGGAGGGCAAGUCUGGUGCCAGCAGCCGCGGUAAUUCCAGCUCCAAUAGCGUAUAUUAAGUUGUUGUGGUUAAAAAGCUCGUAGUUGAACCUUGGGCCUGGCCGUCCGGUCCGCCUCACCGCGUGUACUGGCUCGGCGGGCCUUUCCCUCUGUGGAACCCCAUGCCCUUCACUGGGCGUGGCGGGGAAACAGGACUUUUACUGUGAAAAAAUUAGGUGCUCCAGGCAGGCCUAUGCUCGAAUACAUUAGCAUGGAAUAAUAGAAUAGGACGUGUGGUUCUAUUUUGUUGGUUUCAGGACCGCCGUAAUGAUUAAUAGGGACAGUCGGGGGCAUCAGUAUUCAAUUGUCAGAGGUGAAAUUCUUGGAUUUAUUGAGACUAACUACUGCGAAAGCAUUUGCCAAGGAUGUUUUCAUUAAUCAGGAACGAAAGUUAGGGGAUCGAAGACGAUCAGAUACGUCGUAGUCUUAACCAUAAACUAUGCCGACUAGGGAUCGGACGGUGUUAUUUUUUGACCCGUUCGGCACCUUACGAGAAUCAAAGUGCUUGGGCUCCAGGGGGAGUAUGGUCGCAAGGCUGAAACUUAAAGAAAUUGACGGAAGGGCACCACCAGGGGGGAGCCUGCGGCUUAAUUUGACUCAACACGGGGAAACUCACCAGGUCCAGACACAAUGAGGAUUA